rnacentral:rRNA from 1 species
CCUGGCUCAGAUUGAACGCUGGCGGCAUGCCUUACACAUGCAAGUCGAACGGUAGCGGGUCCUUCGGGAUGCCGACGAGUGGCGAACGGGUGAGUAAUAUAUCGGAACGUGCCCAGUAGUGGGGGAUAGCCCGGCGAAAGCCGGAUUAAUACCGCAUACGACCUGAGGGUGAAAGCGGGGGAUCGCAAGACCUCGCGCUAUUGGAGCGGCCGAUAUCAGAUUAGCUAGUUGGUGGGGUAAAGGCCUACCAAGGCUACGAUCUGUAGUUGGUCUGAGAGGACGACCAGCCACACUGGGACUGAGACACGGCCCAGACUCCUACGGGAGGCAGCAGUGGGGAAUUUUGGACAAUGGGCGCAAGCCUGAUCCAGCAAUGCCGCGUGCAGGAAGAAGGCCUUCGGGUUGUAAACUGCUUUUGUCAGGGAAGAAAUCUUCUGGGCCAAUACCCCGGGAGGAUGACGGUACCUGAAGAAUAAGCACCGGCUAACUACGUGCCAGCAGCCGCGGUAAUACGUAGGGUGCGAGCGUUAAUCGGAAUUACUGGGCGUAAAGCGUGCGCAGGCGGCUUUGCAAGACAGAUGUGAAAUCCCCGGGCUCAACCUGGGAACUGCAUUUGUGACUGCAAGGCUAGAGUACGGCAGAGG